AUUGAACGCUGGCGGCAUGCUUUACACAUGCAAGUCGAACGGUAACAGGCCGCAAGGUGCUGACGAGUGGCGAACGGGUGAGUAAUGCAUCGGAACGUGCCCAGUCGUGGGGGAUAACUACUCGAAAGAGUAGCUAAUACCGCAUACGAUCUAUGGAUGAAAGCGGGGGACCGUAAGGCCUCGCGCGAUUGGAGCGGCCGAUGUCAGAUUAGGUAGUUGGUGGGGUAAAGGCUCACCAAGCCAACGAUCUGUAGCUGGUCUGAGAGGACGACCAGCCACACUGGGACUGAGACACGGCCCAGACUCCUACGGGAGGCAGCAGUGGGGAAUUUUGGACAAUGGGCGCAAGCCUGAUCCAGCAAUGCCGCGUGCAGGAAGAAGGCCUUCGGGUUGUAAACUGCUUUUGUACGGAACGAAACGGCUCUGGUUAAUACCCGGGGCUAAUGACGGUACCGUAAGAAUAGGCACCGGCUAACUACGUG
rnacentral:rRNA from 1 species